rnacentral:lncRNA from 1 species
CAUGAACAUAGGGUGAAGUUAAAGCAUCCUGUUACAGAUACUGGCAACAUAAUGAAUAUACCUGUAUUUCUAAUUCCUUUUUCUUUUUUAUAGCAUUUUAUCACUUUCUACUAUACUAUACUAUUAUUCAAUAUGUUUAUUAUUACCUGACUUUCCACUUUAAACUGUAAGCUCCACAGAUGAGAAAUUUUUAUCUAUUUCAUUUAGUGAUAUUUUCAUAAUUUAGAAUAAUGCCUUGUAUAUGUACGUCCUUGGUAACUAUUUAUGAAAUGAACACCUUUAAGGCUAUAAGAUAUAAACUGUCUGUAUUUUGUCUCUUGUCCCUGACCAUUUCUGAGAUGCGAUACCCUGGAUGAAGAUUUUUCUGGACACUGAGUUGUUCUUGGAGAUGAUCAGGCAGUCUGCACCCUGGAAGUGUAAUCUAACUGCUAAGGAGAUAUUAUCUUCGUCCAGUUAAUCCUCAAUUUGCUGUUGCGCUGCAGACUAUCUGAACAGAAUUCAUGAUUUGUGCUUUCAAACAUCUGAGCUGAGAAGAGGAGCCUUUGCAAGUUUUAGUACAUGUGUUUUACCAUCCAUAUUCAUGAAGAAAAUCAGCAUGUAUAGGUCUCCCAUACCCGGUGAUGUACAGUAGUGCUGGAUAGCUCUGGAGAGCAGUUCUGGCUGGCAAAGAAAGCAGCAAGGAUUGCUAGGAACCAUCUCGCCAUUCAAAGCUGAAAGUUGGCUGCAGAGUAGAUUUUGGUUUUCCCCAUGGAUGCUGAAAGAGAAGGGAAGAAUCAUUUCUGACAAUUCUGCAUGGCUUCUGCAUUGCAACUGGAUGUAGAAUCUGCUCCUGUUUGCAUCCAUGUUCCCAGGAUGAAUUUUUAUUGACAGAAGAAAAGGUAGCUGCCUCACCAGCCCAAGGAGAUGGUGCCAUAUUGAAGACUCAAUUUUGGUUUAUUUGGCUGGAAGAAGGGACACUCAGCAAUGUAGGAAACCAAUACAUCUUCCAAUCUGAUGGGAUCUUCAAACUCAUAAGAUUUUCCUAAAUGCUGACUGGAGGGUUUGAGCUGAUAUCCAUGGAACGAGAAUGAUUAUUCGUUUUUUGUGUUUUUUUGGUGCCAGGGAUUGAACUCGGGACCUUGAGCUUGCAAGGCAGGCACUGGAACCACUGAGCUAAAUCCCCGACCUGAGAAUGAUUAUUUGUAAUGCAGACCAUUUUCUUGCCUCCAGCCCAUAGAAAAC